rnacentral:lncRNA from 1 species
CAGUAACAGUCUUUCAAGCGAUACAAUUAUUGUAUUAUGCAUUACAGUGAUUUUCUUAGACAACAUUUUGACACCUAAGUGUCAGUGUUUGUCAUGCAGGGUUUAGGCCUGAAUUCUAAUCCCUAGCUUUGUUCUUUUUCUGUUUCCAGUCUUCACCAUGUAACUUCUCUCUAAACAAUCUGAAUUUUACCCUGUUGUGCCUAUGUGUGCUGAAGAAGAUUUUGAACACUAGAAGUGAAAAUAGAAAAACUUGUUUCUAACAUGGAGGUGAAGGAAAGGUCAGGAGACAAGUCAGAUGCAUGGCUGAUGUGGUUUAACCAUUCAUGUAGGCAUAGGGAGAGCAAAACUGUCACAGCCACAAUUUAAAGAGAAUUAGUAGGAGACAAGACACAAAUGUGAUCAGAAAAUGAGUGGGUGGCUCUCUGAGAUGCAAUGCCUUCUCAUUUCAUAGUGACAGCAGUGAGCUAAGAAGUCUCUCCGAGUGGUUUGAAGGAAGUACCAAGCAUUUACAGGAACAGACAAUUUGCCUCUGCUUUUCUGAAAUCACCUCAUGCUCAGCAGGAGGAAAGUAGAGAGGAAAAUGCACUGCUGCAAGUGUCACAAAUUGCUGCAUAUCAGAGGUUGAAGAGAUUGAUGAAAAGACAACAACAAUACAAAACCCCUCUGUAUAUUCAAAAUGCGAUGAUGUUCCAUUCAUGGAAAAGCUCUCAACCUUAGUGUAGUCACAUGGCCAGGAGAACAGAAGUGAGAUGUGAAAAGUAAAAUGGCAACCUGGAAAAUACGGAUGUACUUUGUGAUACUGCUGGAAA